GACUUGAACAGUUGAAUCAAAUGGAGAACCAUGUGGAAGCUGCUGAAGCAUGGAGGGAGGAAACGGCUAAAUCAUUCAUGAAGAAAAACUCACAGUAUUCUCUCGUGGAGGUGCUUUCUCCAAGAAAAGAUAUUGGUGCCCCUCUCACAUCAAAA